rnacentral:rRNA from 1 species
CCUACGGGGGGCAGCAGUGAGGAAUAUUGGUCAAUGGACGAGAGUCUGAACCAGCCAAGUAGCGUGAAGGAUGACUGCCCUAUGGGUUGUAAACUUCUUUUAUAUGGGAAUAAAAUGUUCCACGUGUGGGAUUUUGUAUGUACCAUAUGAAUAAGGAUCGGCUAACUCCGUGCCAGCAGCCGCGGUAAUACGGAGGAUCCGAGCGUUAUCCGGAUUUAUUGGGUUUAAAGGGAGCGUAGGUGGAUUGUUAAGUCAGUUGUGAAAGUUUGCGGCUCAACCGUAAAAUUGCAGUUGAAACUGGCAGUCUUGAGUACAGUAGCGGUGGGCGGAAUUCGUGGUGUAGCGGUGAAAUGCUUAGAUAUCACGAAGAACUCCGAUUGCGAAGGCAGUUCACUGGACUGCAACUGACACUGAGGCUCGAAAGUGUGGGUAUCAAACAGGAUUAGAUACCCGAGUAGUC